rnacentral:rRNA from 1 species
CAGCAGCCGCGGGAAUACGAAGGGUGCAAGCGUUAAUCGGAAUUACUGGGCUUAAAGCGCGUGUAGGCGGAUUGGUGCGUCGGUGCCUGAAAUCCCCCGGCUCAACCGGGGAACGCGGCCCGAAACGACCAGUCUGGAGGGACGUAGGGGGAACUGGAACUUCCGGUGGAGCGGUGAAAUGCGUUGAGAUCGGAAGGAACGCCCGUGGCGAAAGCGAGUUCCUGGACGUCUGCUGACGCUGAGACGCGAAAGCUAGGGGAGCGAACGGGAUUAGAUACCCGUGUAGUCCCUGUCUCUUAUC